rnacentral:lncRNA from 11 species
AGGAAAAACAACAAAAUUGGAGUAGAGGCAUUUGUUGUUUUGCUCUUUUUUAAAUAAUGGAAGUAAGGGACAAACUCCAGGAGGUAUUUAGCAUAUUUACAAGAUGCUACAGGAGUUAUUUAGCAUAUUUACAGGCAACAAUGACACUGCUUUGCAUUCAGAAGUUUAAAUACUGUAAAACAUUCCUUACACGGGUAGGACUGAUUUAAAGCAUCGGCAUCUACACCCGUCAAAAUGAGAUUUUCAAAUCAAACCAUUUUUGUCAUGAAAUGUUUAUAAGUUAUUAUCAUUUUUUCCUCUGUCACUCAUUUUGUUUUUAAAUUAGUUUUUGCUCUCCCUGUAAUCUGAAUUUAGUAACACCCUUUGUUUUAAAAAAAAAAUUAGGGAGAAACAGAAACUGUUUCUACAAUGCUUGAAUAUAAAAGGCUUUCCAGGAUUUUGCCUGCCUUGAAGUACAUCUUGGCCCCCUGAAAGGAAAAGGUUGGAAAUACUUUCUGUGUGUUUUCUUACACUCCCACACUGGAUCAAUGGAGGAAAGAACCUUUAGAGCAGCCCUACAAGAAUGGAACAUACUCUUAAGGGGGUGUCUCUGCAGCAGAUUGGUCCUUUCCUCAGCUGCUAUUUUCCCAGCCCAGAGGAUCCCCGCCUGGAGGCGAUGAUGUCAACUGAGCUCUCAGCCAAUCUCGGAGCAGAUCCUGGCUUGCCUCUUCCUGCCAAUCAGGGGAGGGAGCGAGAGAUUUGAAUGGCUGUCAGAACUGUAUAUGGUGUAUUGCAUUACUCUGUAUGUUUAUGCUUGUAUCUUUUGAAGCAAAUUGCUUUUACUUGCAUCCUUUUGGCCGAAUCAUAAUAAACCUCUGUGGCUUGUCUUCAAUCUGGUGAGUUUUUUUGUCUAUCUGGUUUAGGUUACGCUCUCCAGGCAUGGGUCCUCUUAACCACAGAUCCAUACCAAGAUUUUUAUACCUGUUUUACAUAGCGAUAUACCCGAGGUCAUGUAAAAAAUUUUAAGCAUAAAAGUUUAAGCCUGCUCCAGCACACAUGAAUUCAUAAGCCAUUUUUGUUUCAAUGCACAGUACAUCCUCUGUAUCCACUUAGGAUAUGUUCUAAGUCCCCCUCUCAUUGAUCCCUGAAAUCAUGGAUGAUAGCAAUCCCUAAAGUUUGGCUGCACUUGGACCAGAGGAAUAGCACUGAACGACUUAAAAGAAGCUCACAAACACUUCUAGGAAGGAAUCUUUUUUGAGCAUGGGUAAGUGAAACUAUGGAUAUUGGCUCUGGAAAUAAUGGAUCUCAUACCAUACUUGUCACCCAUUAAUGUUCUUUUGCAAAAACACAUUAAUGACUUGCAUUAAGAUAUGUAAUUUUCACUUCCCAAUAAUUGAUCCUGAACUAUCA